rnacentral:ncRNA from 1 species
AUCGUGCUGAGUCUUAGACUUUUCCUUAAUACACCAGCUAUCAACAGACACGGAUGUCUGUUGAAGUUUGAUAUGGGACAAGGAUGUCCCGUAUCAAACGGUAGCGGUCGGUUAUCACUGCAUAUAUGAAAAGUCUUAGAGU